rnacentral:piRNA from 1 species
UGACUAGUCUAUGAACUAUUUUAGGAGUC